rnacentral:rRNA from 1 species
GUCUAUGGCCAUGCCGCCCUGAACUAGCCCAAAUCCCGUCUAAUCUCAGAAGCUAAGCAGAAUCGGGCCUGGUUAGUACUUGGAUAGGAGACCACCUAGGAAGACCAGGUGCUAUAGGCA